rnacentral:rRNA from 1 species
UACGUAGGGGGCAAGCGUUGUCCGGAUUUAUUGGGCGUAAAGAGCGUGUAGGCGGCCAUGUAGGUCCGUUGUGAAAACUCGAGGCUCAACCUCGAGACGCCGAUGGAAACCAUGUGGCUAGAGUCCGGAAGAGGAGAGUGGAAUUCCUGGUGUAGCGGUGAAAUGCGCAGAUAUUGGGAGGAACACCAGUGGCGAAGGCGGCUCACUGGACCGGAACUGACGCUGAGGCGCGAAAGCGUGGGGAGCAAACAGG